CAUAGAUAUCAAUCUCCUUUAUUUUCUUGUUUUUUCUCCUAAUAAUAAAACCAUCUCUAGAAACUUAUUAAUUUUCUAUCUCCUAACAUUUCAUCCCUUUGUAGUUCUAUCGAUUUAUCAUUGUUCUUCCAAAUAUUUUUAUCAACUUGAAGAAAAAAUUGUAUAUAAAAAUUACAAAUCUACUUUUGUGUAUAUCAAUUAUGAUUAAAACCUCACUACAAAAUAAAUAAGAUUUCUGUCCAAACCCAUCUUAUCGAAGCCUACAAAAACGUCGGUAUAGCAUCUCUAAUGGCGUCGACAGUUAGGGGUUGGGAUAGAGGACCUAUUCCGACGCCAAGAUAAGGACAUGGGGAUAUUAGGUUUUUGCUGACAUCGUGGUGGCGUCGGGAAAGACCUAAUUAUUAAACCCUAAAAAACGCCUUCUCCUUCAUUUUUUUUUCCAGCAGCGAUCGACCCCCUUGCAAUUCUUCAUCGCGAACAGUCCCCUCAGAUUCUCUCUUCAGUCGCUUUCACUCAUUCGUCGCCAGUCGCCGCCGGUCGUCCCUCGCUCUCUUUCGUUUCCAAUCAUCGUCAGUCACCCAUUCUCACGUCGUUCUACAAUUAGGCCAACACGUGGAUACUUCCAUAACAUUGAGUUUGACAAUCAUGUUCGAUUGCAUGGAAGAAUUCGUAUUGAAAUUACUCUGGAGUUGAAGAACCCCGUUGGUCCUUAGGUAACGAGAUUCAACAAUGCUAUUGGUACUGUUGUGAGAGAAGAUUUUCCAGUACGUUGCGCCACAUGGAAGAAUGUACAAAGAAAAGUGAUAGAGCUUGUUAAAAGCCAACUUCAAAGUAUAAGGCAGAGUUGCAUAAACACUAUGCCCACCUAAUUGGCUUAAAAAUGCACUUUACGGUUGGAUGUCGUAUGCACGAGGUUUGAAAGCUCUGCUUUUAAGAAAACUUCGAAAACAAACCAGAGGAGUCGAGAGGAGCUUGAUUUUAAUCAUAAAACUAGAUCAAAGACGUUCAUCAAUGUGCAACAAGAUUUGGACAAAAUGUUAUAGUUGCAACCGAUGCUAACUUCAUAAGGAACCCAACCACUUUCAUGAGAAGAAAUAUGUGAGACUGUAUUGUGAAGACGACCGAGCCAUGUUAAAGGUAAAGGUUGGGGCCAAAGCCGAAACCUAGAAGGGAUAGUAGCUCGUCAGGAAGUUCAUUCUACGCACAAAAAGAGCAAGAGCAAGCAGCUGAGAUAAGGUUGUUAAAAGAACGAGUUGGACAACAAGAUUCGAAAAUUGAAGAAUACCAAACAGAGGUAGCAGGCUUCAAAGAUUUGAUAAGAAAUUCAUGAACUCACAGGGGGAACGUCAAAAUAGGAUCAAUGUUAUGUCCACAACUUCGCAAUCGACCAAGAUUGAAAUGUUCCCAUGUCAAUGUUAUGUCUGUUAAACUUAAGCUUUUUGUUUUAAAUCAUGACUCAUGCUUUUGUUAUUUUUAGUUCAUAUAUGUCUAUUUUCGAACCAUAUAAGUUAUAAGGAUAUUUAUGACUAUUUA